rnacentral:rRNA from 1 species
CAACAGCGUAUAUUAAAGUUGUUGCAGUUAAAACGCCCGUAGUCGGAUUUCGGGGCGGGCGGGCCGGUCUGCCGAUGGGUAUGCACUGGUCUGGCCGUCCUUCCUUCCGGAGACCGUGCGUGCUCUUAACUGAGUGCGCUCGGGAGACGGAUCGUUUACUUUGAAAAAAUCAGAGUGUUUCAAGCAGGCAGCUCGCUCUUGCAUGGAUUAGCAUGGGAUAAUGAAAUAGGACUUUGGUGCUAUUUUGUUGGUUUCGAACACCGAAGUAAUGAUUAACAGGGACAGUCAGGGGCACUCGUAUUCCGCCGAGAGAGGUGAAAUUCUCAGACCAGCGGAAGACGAACCACUGCGAAAGCAUUUGCCAGGGAUGUUUUCAUUAA